GCUUAACGCGAAGAACCUUACCUGGCCUUGACAUGCCACUAACGAAGCAGAGAUGCAUUAGGUGCCCGUAAGGGAAAGUGGACACAGGUGCUGCAUGGCUGUCGUCAGCUCGUGUCAUGAGAUGUUGGGUUAAGUCCCGCAACGAGCGCAACCCUUGCCAUUAAUUGCCAUCAUUUAGUUGGGCACUUUAAUGGGACUGCCGGUGACAAACCGGAGGAAGGUGGGGAUGACGUCAAGUCCUCAUGGCCCUUAUGGCCAGGGCUUCACACGUAAUACAAUGGUCGGUACAGAGAGUUGCCAAGCCGCGAGGUGGAGCUAAUCUCAGGAAGCCGAUCGUAGUCCGGAUUGUUCUCUGCAACUCGAGAGCAUGAAGUCGGAAUCGCUAGUAAUCGCGGAUCAGCAUGUCGCGGUGAAUACGUUCCCGGAUCUUGUACACACCG
rnacentral:rRNA from 1 species